AUUGGCAGAAGCCAUGGGAAGAAGAAAAGAAAGCAUGUCAGCUGAGCUGGACGCGCUCUAAAAAGAGAUUUUCUGGCACCACUCCUAAUAAUUUCCUCUUAGAUCGGAUUGGCCAACCGUGUCACUUGGCCACUCUAACCUGCAUAGUGGCUGCACUGUGUUGAGAGAGCAACCAGCAGUCUCCAUCACCGCGGGACUACUGCCAAGAUUAAGAAGAAGCCACCCUGAGUAGUUAAUACUCCAGGAAGAGGAAUCACGUGGAAAGGAGACAUCGGGGAGGCUCCAAGUGUCCCAAACAGGGAUUGAAGAGCUGCAGUUCAAAGAUCAGGCUAAGCAAACUCCCGCGGCAGCAAGCCACCCACCCGGAGUUCCAGCUACAGAGGAUUGCCAUGUUCUUCCCCAGGAAGGGCCUGGAAGCUGCCGCGACACCCUAUUCCUCUUACCCAUCUGUAACCCUCACUCGAGAAAAGGGCAAAGUUUAAGGAAAAAUCCCUGGCACGACAGAGAUGUUGUGUGUGUGUGAAAUGAAAAUGUAUAUACUCAAACCGUGGGUCAGCUGUGGUUUAAAGUACGUCCUGACUUCCCGCCGUUCUUUUCUCAGGUACGGAAAUAUUUCAAGGCAAUUUCAAUGAACUGGAUUUCGAGAAACUACUAAAACGUUUUUUUGUAGAUGUAUUCCUCCUCAUGCACAUCCUCGGGACAGCAGUCGUCUUAAAACGGAGUUAAAAGUCCACACUUCAGCCUUGAAAUAUGCUCGAGUCGUGCGGCGACCUUGGAGACGUAGCUCCAACCGUGCAAAGUCUCAGCAAGUGGACCUAGCCUAGCUUAGAAAAUACAAAACCCCUGAAUUCUUUUUUAUUCUACUAAAUACUCUCUCACCUGUUACGGUCUCCUUGAGCAAGUGCUGACGCUGGUAAAAGGGCAACGGGCAUUUGCCUAAUGGUCCGAAGUGUGAUAGCCAAAAAUAAACAUAAGGGGGAAAAAAAUCAUGACUUUCCGAUGCAUGACUUUGA